GAUGAACGCUAGCGAUAGGCUUAACACAUGCAAGUCGAGGGGCAGCACAAGGUAGCUUGCUAUCUGGGUGGCGACCGGCGCACGGGUGCGUAACGCGUAUGCAACUUGCCCUAUACAGGAGGAUAACCCGUCGAAAGACGGACUAAUACUGCGUAUGCUCACAACUUGGCAUCAAGUGGUGAGGAAAGAAAUUCGGUAUAGGAUAGGCAUGCGUCCCAUUAGCUUGUUGGUGAGGCAACGGCUCACCAAGGCAACGAUGGGUAGGGGAACUGAGAGGUUUAUCCCCCACACUGGUACUGAGACACGGACCAGACUCCUACGGGAGGCAGCAGUGAGGAAUAUUGGUCAAUGGGCGCGAGCCUGAACCAGCCAAGUCGCGUGAAGGAUGACUGUCUUAUGGAUUGUAAACUUCUUUUAUACGGGAAUAACAAGAGUCACGUGUGACUCCCUGCAUGUACCGUAUGAAUAAGCAUCGGCUAACUCCGUG
rnacentral:rRNA from 1 species